GCUGCACAGAGAGGGAGAGCUGCACAGCGCCCCUUCAGCGAAGCGGGAGGAGGAACAGAAGGAGCCCCUUCUGUUCCUCCUCCGGCUUCGCAGGACAGACGCCCCGCUAAAGGGGCGCUGCACAGCUCUCCCUCUCUGCACAGC